rnacentral:lncRNA from 1 species
CUUGAUCCGCUGCCGGCGGCCUGAAUUACCCGGCCGUUGUGGCGGUUGCGGCGGUUCUGUACCCAGGAUCCGAAUGGAGGCGGCACGGGACCCAGGCCCGGGGUUGUGCUGCAAGCCCGGCGGGCGUCUGGACAUGAGCCACGGCUUCGUACACCAUAUCCGUCGGAACCAGAUCGCUCGGUACCGCCCCGCCCCAGGCCCGGCCCGGCCCGAUUCGGCCGGGUGACAGCGCCUGACUCCCGCUCGGCUCCCCGCAGGGACGACUACGACAAGAAGGUGAAGCAGGCGGCCAAGGAGAAGGCGAGGAGGCGCCACACGCCCGCGCCCACGCGGCCCCGCAAGCCAGACCUACAGGUGUACCUGCCGCGCCACCGAGGUGAGCAGCCGCCAGCUCGCGGCCCCGCCCCUAGGGCAAGCCCCUCUUCUUUGCGUCAGGGCUCCUGCUCACCCGGCCCUUACCGAGGCCACUGCAUCAACGUCAGCGACCCCACUUCUCCGCUCCAAGGCCAGUGACCCCAGUUAAACAGCACUGUUACAUAAGGUACCUGGGACCCGGCCAGGAAUCGCUGUCCACCAGUGUGGUCUGUCAUGCUGUGUUUUAAUAUUUCUGCCACCUGGAAGAGAGAACGUCUGGCUGAGAUUAAAAACAAAAACAAACAA